GGCGGUGGGCGGGCAGCUUACCGAAAGGAGGAAGCUCCCCUCAUACAGAGCAUUAAAGGGCUUAAGGCCCUAUUCGGAAUAGAAACGAACGGCUACGCUGCAUAAAGCUAUGACACUACGAGCGCAACGAUGCCGAUGAAACGCGCCGAUGCAAAUGCUGUGAGUAUGCAAGGCCUUUGAGCCGCUCAGUCAAAUGCUGCCUAAAACAGAAAGGGGGCUACGGCCCGCCGCC
rnacentral:RNase_P_RNA from 4 species